CAGCAGUGGGGAAUAUUGCACAAUGGGCGCAAGCCUGAUGCAGCCAUGCCGCGUGUGUGAAGAAGGCCUUCGGGUUGUAAAGCACUUUCAGUCGUGAGGAAGGUAGUGUAGUUAAUAGCUGCAUUAUUUGACGUUAGCGACAGAAGAAGCACCGGCUAACUCCGUGCCAGCAGCCGCGGUAAUACGGAGGGUGCGAGCGUUAAUCGGAAUUACUGGGCGUAAAGCGCAUGCAGGUGGUUUGUUAAGUCAGAUGUGAAAGCCCCGGGGCUCAACCUCGGAAUUGCAUUUGAAACUGGCAGACUAGAGUACUGUAGAGGGGGUAGAAUUUCAGGUGUAGCGGUGAAAUGCGUAGAGAUCUGAAGGAAUACCGGUGGCGAAGGCGGCCCCCUGGACAGAUACUGACACUCAGAUGCGAAAGCGUGGGGAGCAAACAGGAUUAGAUACCCUGGUAG
rnacentral:rRNA from 1 species